rnacentral:tRNA from 4 species
GGGGCCGUAGCUCAGUUGGGAGAGCGCUACGUUCGCAACGUAGAGGUCAGGGGUUCGAUUCCCCUCGGCUCCACCA